rnacentral:rRNA from 1 species
GACGAACGCUGGCGGCGUGCUUAACACAUGCAAGUCGAACGGAAAGGCCCUGCUUUUGUGUGGUGCUCGAGUGGCGAACGGGUGAGUAACACGUGAGUAACCUGCCCUUGACUUUGGGAUAACUUCAGGAAACUGGGGCUAAUACCGGAUAGGAGCUCCUGCUGCAUGGUGGUGGUUGGAAAGUUUCGGCGGUUGGGGAUGGACUCGCGGCUUAUCAGCUUGUUGGUGGGGUAGUGGCUUACCAAGGCUUUGAAGGGUAGCCGGCCUGAGAGGGUGAACGGCCACAUUGGGACUGAGAUACGGACCAGACUGCUACGGGAGGCAGCAGUGGGGAAUAUUGCACAAUGGGCGGAAGCCUGAUGAAGAAACGCCGCGUGCGGGAUGAAGGCCUUCGGGUUGUAAACCGCUUUCGCCUGUGACGAAGCGUGAGUGACGGUAAUGGGUAAAGAAGCACCGGCUAACUACGUG